GAGUUUGAUCCUGGCUCAGGAUGAACGCUAGCUACAGGCUUAACGCAUGCAAGUCGAGGGGCAGCAUGAACUUAGCUUGCUAAGUUUGAUGGCGACCGGCGCACGGGUGAGUAACACGUAUCCAACCUGCCGAUGACUCGGGGAUAGCCUUUCGAAAGAAAGAUUAAUACCCGAUGGCAUAGUUCUUCCGCAUGGUAGAACUAUUAAAGAACUUCGGUCAUCGAUGGGGAUGCGUUCCAUUAGGUUGUUGGCGGGGUAACGGCACACCAAGCCUUCGAUGGAUAGGGGUUCUGAGAGGAAGGCCCCCCACAUUGGAACUGAGACACGGUCCAAACUCCUACGGGAGGCAGCAGUGAGGAAUAUUGGUCAAUGGACGAGAGUCUGAACCAGCCAAGUAGCGUGAAGGAUGACUGCCCUAUGGGUUGUAAACUUCUUUUAUACGGGAAUAAAGUGAGGCACGUGUGCCUUUUUGUAUGUACCGUAUGAA
rnacentral:rRNA from 1 species